rnacentral:rRNA from 1 species
AAUGAACGCUGGCGGCAGGCCUAACACAUGCAAGUCGAACGGAUCCUUCGGGAUUAGUGGCGGACGGGUGAGUAACGCGUGGGAGCAUACCCUUUGGUACGGAAUAGCCUCGGGAAACUGGGAGUAAUACCGUAUGUGGUCGAGAGACGAAAGAUUUAUCGCCAAAGGAUUGGCCCGCGUUGGAUUAGGUAGUUGGUGGGGUAAUGGCCUACCAAGCCGACGAUCCAUAGCUGGUUUGAGAGGAUGAUCAGCCACACUGGGACUGAGACACGGCCCAGACUCCUACGGGAGGCAGCAGUGGGGAAUCUUAGACAAUGGGGGAAACCCUGAUCUAGCCAUGCCGCGUGAUCGAUGAAGGCCUUAGGGUUGUAAAGAUCUUUCAGGUGGGAAGAUAAUGACUGUACCACUAGAAGAAGCCCCGGCUAACUCCGUGCCAGCAGCCGCGGUAA